rnacentral:rRNA from 1 species
UACGAAGGUGGCAAGCGUUACUCGGAAUUACUAGGCGUAAAGGGCAGGUAGGUGGUUUGGUAAGUCUAUUGUGAAAGCUCCCGGCUUAACUGGGAGAGGCCAAUGGAUACUGCCGAGCUUGAGUAUAGGAGAGGUUACUGGAAUUCCCGGUGUAGCGGUGAAAUGCGCAGAUAUCGGGAGGAACACCAAUGGCGAAAGCAGGUAACUGGACUAUUACUGACACUCAACUGCGAAAGCUAGGGGAGCAAACAGG